UACGGAGGGGGCAAGCGUUAUUCGGAAUUACUGGGCGUAAAGGGCUCGUAGGCGGCCAACUAAGUCCGACGUGAAAUCCCCAGGCUUAACCUGGGAACUGCGUCGGAUACUGGAUGGCUUGAAUUCGGGAGAGGGAUGCAGAAUUCCAGGUGUAGCGGUGAAAUGCGUAGAUAUCUGGAGGAAUACCGGUGGCGAAGGCGGCAUCCUGGACCGACAUUGACGCUGAGGAGCGAAAGCUAGGGGAGCAAACGGG
rnacentral:rRNA from 1 species